AGAGAAGGAAAAAAAGUAGAAAUGAAAAACCAAGAACAAAAACAAAAAUAAAAAACACCGUCCACCCAAUUUGGUUGGGGUAAGUUUUUUUUGAUUUAUCUUGUUCCUUCCUC
rnacentral:ribozyme from 14 species